rnacentral:tRNA from 1 species
GGAAAUGUGGCUUAGUGGUACAGUGCUUGCCUAGCACGCAUGAAAUACUGGGUUCGAUUCCUCAGUACCA